CGCCCCCUCCCCUUUCCCCCCCCGCCCCGUCCGCCAUGGAGGACGUGAACGACUACAGCAACAUGGAGGAGUUCGCCGAGGGCUCCAAGAUCAACGCCAGCAAGAACCAGCAGGACGAUGGGAAAAUGUUCAUCGGAGGCCUGAGCUGGGAUACGAGCAAGAAAGACCUGACGGAAUACCUGUCUCGUUUCGGAGAGGUCGUGGACUGCACAAUUAAAACCGACCCCGUCACCGGCAGGUCAAGGGGCUUCGGGUUUGUGCUCUUCAAGGACGCCGCCAGUGUGGACAAGGUGUUGGAACUGAAGGAGCACAAACUGGACGGCAAACUUAUAGAUCCCAAAAGGGCCAAAGCCCUCAAAGGGAAGGAGCCUCCCAAGAAAGUAUUUGUCGGGGGACUCAGCCCGGACACUUCAGAGGAACAAAUUAAAGAAUACUUCGGAGCGUUUGGAGAGAUUGAAAAUAUCGAAUUGCCAAUGGACACCAAGACAAAUGAGAGAAGGGGCUUCUGUUUCAUCACAUACACCGAUGAAGAGCCAGUAAAGAAGUUAUUAGAAAGCAGAUACCAUCAGAUUGGCUCUGGGAAGUGUGAAAUCAAAGUCGCUCAGCCCAAAGAAGUGUACAGGCAGCAGCAGCAGCAGCAGAAAGGAGGGAGGGGUGCUGCAGCUGGAGGAAGAGGCGGGACCCGGGGGCGAGGCAGAGGUCAGGGCCAAAACUGGAACCAAGGAUUUAAUAACUAUUAUGAUCAAGGAUAUGGAAAUUACAAUAGUGCCUAUGGUGGUGACCAAAACUAUAGUGGCUAUGGCGGAUAUGAUUAUACUGGGUAUAACUAUGGGAACUAUGGAUAUGGACAGGGAUAUGCAGACUACAGUGGUCAACAGAGCACGUAUGGAAAAGCUUCCAGAGGUGGUGGUAAUCACCAAAACAAUUACCAGCCAUACUAAAAGACCUGGAAAAAACAGCGGGAACUUCAUUGCAGGCCGUGUGUCACCCUGACCACGUCUCUCUCUCUGGGGGUCGCACGUUGCGGGCAGAGCGCAAGGCAUACACCAGAAAACGCUGUCCUGUGGCGGAGAAGCUACAGCGGCUUAUCUCGCAGAACGUCGACCUUGAACAGAGAGGGUGGUCGUCUGUUGAGCUGAGGUGGCUCUUUUGUAAAAGACUUUCUUAGUGAAUUACGAUGUCCAAUUGUAAAUAGCAGCUGAUUAGUGUUCUUAUUUUUACUUUGUCCUCUGCCAUCUGUGUUUUGACUUGUGGAUUGUGUUUAUAUAAACCUUAUAUCAUUUCAUGUUAGGUGAUUCUCAGAUGCUUACUUGCUGUGAUUUUUUUUGUGUGUAUGUGUCUGUGUGUGCCAGGUACUAAAAUGGUUCUGUAAAUGUCUCAUUUUUAAAUAGCAAUAAUCUGGGCAUGGUUGACUUCUAGGGAUUAAUGACUGGGUUGUUUUUUGGGUUUUUUUUAAAGCAGCAGUAUGCUCACUUUAUUUGGUGGGAAAUUAUUGUGCUACAGCUUUGGAAAUCUGUUUAAAACUAUCGUGACUUGCUGUAGUCAAAGGGUUUUUUUGGUGGGGUCCCCCCGUCCCCGUCCCCGUCCCCCCCCCCCCGAUAUGGUCCUGAGCGACUGCAUAGCUACAGGCAUCCUGGAAUUUUUUUUUUUUCCUUUUUUCUUCAAAAGAAACACCUUGAUUAACUCCCUGAACAAAACCCCCAAUACAUGCUUUUUAUGGGGCGGAAAGAUGCUUGCUUUGAGUCCUUGUCUGCAGAGAUAAGCCCUCUUGUCUAGGUUGGAUCACGUCAACGGGGAAUUCAGCAAAACCCCUUGAUGGAUCUUGCCUGAAAGGUUUUAGCUCUAGAUAGGCAGUUAAACAUUUUCUUUUGUGAAUUAGAUGCAGUCUCCGCCACUUGAACAAACUGCCUCGCCUGUUGGGACCUAUACUUGGAAAGCUUUAGUAGUUAUGAUUUUUAACCGUCAAAAUUUAGGAAAAGUCAUAGUAAACCCUAUCAUGUACUACGUAUUGUUUUGUACUCUAAAUAAAAGUUAUUUUUCCAGUUUUAAUGCAGCUAGUGCAUUUAUGCUGAGUAGCGAUAUGACAUGCCUAGAUUGUAGCGGCCCCCCUCAGGGCAGAGCUGGCCCGGUCCAGACCUGUGGUGUUCUGGUGUGCAGAGGGAGACCUUAAACUUGGCUUGUAGACAACCGUUUUUUCAAAUGAAUGUGAGACAGCUGUGAUAAAAAGUGGUUUGUUACCCUCCCACUAGCUUCCGUUUUUUUUAAAAAAAAAAAUGAGUAAAAUUUGUCCGAAUAAAUGGAUGAUAAACCUAA